rnacentral:rRNA from 1 species
GACGAACGCUGGCGGCGUGCUUAACACAUGCAAGUCGAACGAUGAAGCCUAGCUUUCUAGGUGGGUUAGUGUCGAACGGGGGAGUAAUACGUGAGUAUCCUACCUUUAACUCUUUGAUAUACCCUGGGAACUGUGGCUAAUACCGCAGACGACCGAUCCCCCCGUAUGGUGUGGGUUGGAAGCGUUAUGUGGUGGUUAUAGAUGGGCUCACGGCCUAUCAGCUUGUUGGUGAGGUGACGGCUCACCAAGGCGACGACGGGUAGCCGGCCUGAGAGGGUGACCGGCCACAUUGGGACUGAGAUACGGCCCAGACUCCUACGGGAGGCAGCAGUGGGGAAUAUUGCACAAUGGGCGGAAGCCUGAUGCAGCGACGCCGCGUGCGGGAUGACGGCCUUCGGGUUGUAAACCGCUGUUAGCAGGGAAGAAGAGAGAUUGACGGUAACUGGAGAGAAAGCGCCGGCUAACUACGUG